rnacentral:rRNA from 1 species
UACGGGGGGGGCAAGCGUUGUUCGGAAUUACUGGGCGUAAAGGGCUCGUAGGCGGCCAACUAAGUCAGACGUGAAAUCCCUCAGCUUAACUGGGGAACUGCGUCUGAUACUGGAUGGCUUGGAUUCGGGAGAGGGAUGCGGAAUUCCAGGUGUAGCGGUGAAAUGCGUAGAUAUCUGGAGGAACACCGGUGGCGAAGGCGGCAUCCUGGACCGAUAUUGACGCUGAGGAGCGAAAGCCAGGGGAGCAAACGGG